UACGUAGGGGCCUAGCGUUGUCCGGAUUUAUUGGGCGUAAAGAGCUCGUAGGCGGUUCGGUAAGUCAGGUGUGAAAUCUCCACGCUCAACGUGGAGGCGCCACCUGAAACUGCCGUGACUCGAGUCCGGUAGGGGAGUGUGGAAUUCCUGGUGUAGCGGUGAAAUGCGCAGAUAUCAGGAGGAACACCGUGGCGAAGGCGGCGCUCUGGGC
rnacentral:rRNA from 1 species